rnacentral:rRNA from 1 species
UACGGGGGGAGCAAGCGUUGUUCGGAUUUACUGGGCGUAAAGGGCGCGUAGGCGGCCAGCACAAGUCAGUUGUGAAAUCUCCGGGCUUAACUCGGAAAGGUCAACUGAUACUGUGCGGCUAGAGUGCAGAAGGGGCAACUGGAAUUCUCGGUGUAGCGGUGAAAUGCGUAGAUAUCGAGAGGAACACCUGCGGCGAAGGCGGGUAACUAGGAACACUUUGACGCUGAGGGACGAAAGCUAGGGGAGCGAAAGGG